UACGUAGGGGGCUAGCGUUGUCCGGAAUCAUUGGGCGUAAAGAGCGUGUAGGCGGUCCGGUAAGUCCGCUGUGAAAGUCGGGGGCUCAACCCUCGAAUGCCGGUGGAUACUGUCGGGCUGGAGUGCGGAAGAGGCGAGUGGAAUUCCUGGUGUAGCGGUGAAAUGCGCAGAUAUCAGGAGGAACACCUGUGGUGUAGACGGCUUACUGGACCAUGACUGACGCUGAGGCACGAAAGCGUGGGGGAGCGAACAGG
rnacentral:rRNA from 1 species